AGUGAACGCUGGCGGCGUGCCUAACACAUGCAAGUCGAACGAUGAAGUCCUUCGGGAUGGAUUAGUGGCGCACGGGUGAGUAUACCAUAGAUAAUGUACCUCUUAGUUCGGGAUAGCCACUGGAAACGGUGAUUAAUACCGGAUACUCCUUCUUGUCCUAAGGCAAGUCGGGAAAGUUUUUUCGCUAAGAGAUCAGUCUAUGUCCUAUCAGCUAGUUGGUGAGGUAAUGGCUCACCAAGGCUAUGACGGGUAUCUGGUUUGAGAGGAUGAUCAGACACACUGGAACUGAGACACGGUCCAGACUCCUACGGGAGGCAGCAGUGAGGAAUAUUGCACAAUGGAGGAAACUCUGAUGCAGCAACGCCGCGUGGAGGAUGACGCAUUUCGGUGUGUAAACUCCUUUUAAGAGGGAAGAUAAUGACGGUACCUCUUGAAUAAGCACCGGCUAACUCCGUGCCAGCAGCCGCCGUAA
rnacentral:rRNA from 1 species